rnacentral:rRNA from 1 species
UACGUAGGGCGCAAGCGUUAUCCGGAAUUAUUGGGCGUAAAGAGCUCGUAGGCGGUUUGUCGCGUCUGCCGUGAAAGUCCGGGGCUCAACUCCGGAUCUGCGGUGGGUACGGGCAGACUAGAGUGCAGUAGGGGAGACUGGAAUUCCUGGUGUAGCGGUGAAAUGCGCAGAUAUCAGGAGGAACACCGAUGGCGAAGGCAGGUCUCUGGGCAUUAACUGACGCUGAGGAGCGAAAGCUAGGGGAGCAAACGGG